CAAAACCAACAUUCGGGAACCAGU
rnacentral:miRNA from 1 species